CCUACGGGAGGCAGCAGUGAGGAAUAUUGGUCAAUGGACGGAAGUCUGAACCAGCCAUGCCGCGUGCAGGAAGACGGCUCUAUGAAUUGUAAACUGCUUUUGUACAAGGGUAAACAUGAAUACGUGUAUUCAGCUGAAAGUACUGUACGAAUAAGCAUCGGCUAACUCCGUGCCAGCAGCCGCGGUAAUACGGAGGAUCCAAGCGUUAUCCGGAUUUAUUGGGUUUAAAGGGUGCGUAGGCGGAUUGAUAAGUUAGAGGUGAAAUGUCCGAGCUUAACUCGGGAACUGCCUCUAAUACUGUUGGUCUAGAGAGUAGAUGCGGUAGGCGGAAUGUAUGGUGUAGCGGUGAAAUGCUUAGAGAUCGUACAGAACACCGAUUGCGAAGGCAGCUUACCAAUCUAUAUCUGACGUUGAGGCACGAAAGCGUGGGGAGCAAACAGGAUUAGAUACCCGAGUAGUC
rnacentral:rRNA from 1 species